rnacentral:rRNA from 1 species
AACGGNNGAGUANUACNUGAGCGNUGNGNCCUUGANUCUGGNAUAANCGCUGGANACGGCNNCUAAUACCGGAUACGACCAUCNGAUGCNUCUCCUGGUGGUGGAAAGAACUUCGGUCANNNAUCAGCUCACGGCCUAUCAGCUUGUUGGUGAGGUAACGGCUCACCAAGGCGACGACGGGUAGCCGGCCUGAGAGGGUGACCGGCCACACUGGGACUGAGACACGGCCCAGACUCCUACGGGAGGCAGCAGUGGGGAAUAUUGCACAAUGGGCGCAAGCCUGAUGCAGCAACGCCGCGUGAGGGACGAAGGCCUUCGGGUUGUAAACCUCUUUUAGCAGGGAAGAAGCGAGAGUGACGGUACCUGCAGAAAAAGCACCGGCUAACUACGUGCCAGCAGCCGUGGUAAUACGUAGGGUGCAAGCGUUGUCCGGAAUUAUUGGGCGUAAAGAGCUCGUAGGCGGUCUGUCACGUCUGCUGUGAAAACCCGAGGCUCAACCUCGGGCUUGCAGUGGGUACGGGCAGACUAGAGUGCGGUAGGGGAGAUUGGAAUUCCCGGUGUAGCGGUGGAAUGCGCAGAUAUCAGGAGGAACACCGAUGGCGAAGGCAGAUCUCUGGGCCGUAACUGACGCUGAGGAGCGAAAGCAUGGGGAGCAAACAGGCUUAGAUACCCUGGUAGUCCAUGCCGUAAACGUUGGGAACUAGAUGUGGGGACCAUUCCACGGUCUCCGUGUCGUANCUAACGCAUUAAGUUCCCCGCCUGGGGAGUACGGNCGCAAGGCUAGAACUCAAAGGAAUUGACGGGGGCCCGCACAAGUGGCGGANCAUGCNNAUUANUUC